GUUAUUUUCUCAAGAAACUACACUUCUUUGACAUGGUGCGUAGAUGAAUUUGUCCAUGUUGUUAGAUGCAAGAAAGAGACGAAAUCAAUGAUUUUUCUCAUUUUUUAUGAUGUGAAUCCAUGUCAUGUACGGAAACAUAUGGGAACUUUUGGACAAGCCUUUAAUGAACAUGAAAAAUGUUUUAAAGAGAACUUGAAGAAGGUGAAAAUGUUGAGAGCUACUUUGAGAGAAGUGACCAAUCUAUCUAGUUGACAUUUACAAGAUCGGCAUGAGUCAGAAUUUAUACAACACAUUGUGAAAGAGAUGAUGGAUAAAUUGAGUUCAAAAUCCUCAAGCAUUACCAAAAACUUUAUAGGAAUACAAUCUACUGUGGCAAAAUUGAUCCCUUCGUAUUUAGGUUUUGAGAAUAAUGUUUACAUUAUUGGGAUUUAUGGUAUGGGAGGAUUGGGAAAGAUAACUCAUGCUAGCUUUAUUGCUAAUGUUAGGAAGAUUUUAAAUAAACACAGGCUUCCUAGAUUACAACAGCAGCUUCUUGCAAACAUUUUGGAGGACAGAAAAAUAGAUAUAAGGAAUGUUUAUGAAGGAGUUGAAAUGAUUAUGAAAAUGUUGUCAUAAAAAAGUUCUACUUGUUAUAGAUGAUGUCAACCAAUUAGACCAAUUAGAAAAAUUGGCUAGAGAGUUUGGAUUGGGGAGUUGGAUCAUCAUAACAACUAGAGAUGAACAUGUGUUGGUUCAACAUGGAAUACUUAAAAGAUAUAAGCCUAACAUAUCAAAUAAUGAUGAUGCUUCAAAACUUUUUUGUUUGAAAGCUUUGGAAAUGGAGGAACCCAAAGAAAAUUAUACGCAGCUCUCCCGAAAAGUUGUAGAAUAUGCUAGUGGCCUUCCAUUAGCUCUUGUUACUUUGGGUUCCUUUUUGGUUGGAAGAACAAUAGAUGAAUGGCAAAGUGCAUUGGACAGUUUCAAAAAAUAUGAAAGGAGAAAUAUUUGAUAUACUUCAAAUAAGUUACGAUGGACUAUAAGAAAUGUGGAAGGAGGUAUUUUUGGAUAUUGCAUGUUUCUUUAGAGAGAAGAAGAAACAUAUAGGAAUACAAAUAUUAGAGAAUUGUGGUUUUGAUGCAAUAAUUGGUAUUAGUGUUCUUGCGGAAAAGUCUUUCCUAACCAUAGAUGACAACGAAAUUUUGGGGAUGCAUGAUCUACUAAAAGAAAUGGGUGAAAAAAAUUAUUUCUAGAAUUAGGUGGAAAGCUUGGAAAGCAGAGUAGGUUAUGGCUUUUUGAGGACUUGCUUCGUGUAUUGGAGAAAGAUAUGCAGAAGAUAUUCAAGCCAUAGCCACAUACGGGAAAGAGGAUUUCAACUUUGAAGAAUUUCCUGAAGUUUUUUCAAGGAUGUCUAAACUUAGAUUGCUGAUUAUUGAUGGGCAGCGCAUCCCAAAUGCUCUCAAUCAUGUUCCUAAUGACCUAAGAUAUCUUCCGUGGAGCUUCUGUUCUUUAAAAUGUUUGCCAUCCAGUUUCCAACCAAAGAAGCUUGUUCAACUUGACUUGCGGUGUAGCAAAUUUGAAUAUCUUUGGGAAGAAGUAAUGCAUUCAGUCAAGCAAAAGUUCACUGAUCUUGUUGUUCCAAAAGCCUUAUUAGGACACCUGACUUUUCAGGUGUUCCGAGACUUGAGGGACUAAAACCUUCAUGGUGCGACAGUUUGGUUGAGAUCCACCCAUCUAUUGGACAACUCAGCAGGCUUAGGUACUUAUAUCUGCAAGGCUGUGAAUCUCUUACUGAUCUUCCCAGCAUGUCUGCUGAAAUGCAGUCCCUUAUAAUCUCAAAUUUCUUCCAAGCAACAUGGAUGAUUUGAAGUCUCUUGAAAAACUCAUUCUUUGUGGAUGCUCAAAACUAAAAUGAUUGAAAAUGUUCCCAUCAACUGUAAGAUAUAUAAAUGCUCAAUUUUGUUUUUCCCUAAAAGCGUCACCAGCAUUGGUCAAACUGAGUAGCUUGUCACAACCUCACUCCCAGACAUGUCUGGAUGAUGAGAGCAGCAGUGAACUGGCAUUUACAACAUUGUACCAUUACCUACAAGUAAUCUCUUCUCUCUCUCUCAUUGUUAAAUAACAGUUACCUACAGGCUACAACAAUAGUUGUGUUUUUGGCACAGGGGCUCCUUUGCUGUAAAACCGAUUAUGAAAGGACCAAAAGAAAAGAGGAUGUAACUAUAACUGAAUUUCAGAUAAUUGUUUGUGGGUUUGAAAUUCCUUCAUGGUUAACUCAUUAAAGUGUGGGGAAUUCAAUAAGCAUGGAGCUACCUUUUGUUGUAAUAGUAAAUGGAUGGGAUUCGCUAUAUGUGCAUCAGUAUCAGCGGGAUUUGGCAUUAGAGUUCGUGUGAUAGCCCUUGGUGAUAUGCCUCUGAACUUUUUACUAUGUAGAUGCAUUGUGAGGACAGUAUAUGGUUAUUUUAUUUGUUUUGUGAUGGUUGGUUUGCUACUGUUGGGAAUGGAGAAUGCAGUAAGAUUAAGGUUAUAAUUGAGACCUAUGACUCAGCCAUUCAUGUACGUGAAUGUGGGGUCAAUUUGGUAUACGAGCAAGAUGUGGACGAGUUCAACAAAAUGCACAAUGUUUGAUUGAGAGCUUUGAUGGUGAUGAUGAUGAUGGUGGUGAUGAUAAUGAUGAUUGAAAUGACUGCAGAAGAUGGUGCUCAUUUUUGUUUUUUUUUUUUUUUUUGCUUUUUUCAUAGGAUGAAUUUCAAUUGAGGCUUUGGCAAGUUGACCCUUUAUCCCCUUUUCUCUUUGAUAUUGUCAUGGAGGCCUUGAGCCGUAUGUUGGUUGCAGCUACUGCAGCAAGGCAGUUUUCGGGCUUCACAGUGGGGAAUGUGACUGGUUCCUUGAUGACGGUGUCUCACCUUUUGUUCGCGGAUGACACUUGUUUUCUGUGAUGCUGAUAGCAAUCAUGUAACAGCUUUGCAUGGGAUUCUCUCUAGAUUUGAGGAGAUGUUAGGGCUAAAUAUUAAUUUAGGAAAGUCUGAAUUGGUACCAGUUGGGGAUGUGCCUAAUCUUCAUGAGCUAGUGGAGAUUUUGGGCUAUAGGGAGUCCGUUCUUCCGUUGAAAUAUUUAGGUCUUCCGUUGGGUGCUUCUUUUAAAGAUAAGACAAUUUGGAAUCCUAUUUUGGAGAAGAUGGAGCGAAGGCUAGCUGGUUGGAAGAGGUUGUAUUUAUCUAAGGGGGAUAAGGUUACCCUUAUUAAGAGUACUCUAUCUAGCCUACCUACGUAUUUCCUUUCUCUUUUCCCUAUCCCAGGCAAGGUGGCUUAGAGGAUGGAGAAAUUACAAAGGGACUUCCUUUGGACUAGUAUGGGGGACGAGCAUAAGAUUCACUUAGUAAAUUGGUCUAAGAUAUGUAGGCCAGUGAAGUUUGGAGGGAUAGGCAUUAGGUGUUUGAGAAGGUUUAAUUCUGCCUUAUUAGCCAAAUGGUUGUGGCGCUAUGGUUUGGAGAAUGAUGCCCUUUGGAGAAGGGUCAUUGGGGCGAAGUAUGGGAAUGAGUGGAGUGGUUGGUGCACAAAAUCUAUGUCUGGGGCAUAUAGUGUUUGUUUGUGGAAGUUCAUUCGGAGUGGUUGGGGGAAUUUUUCCAAGUUCAUUCGGUAUGAAGUGGGUGAUGGAACUCGUGUGAAGUUUUGGGAUGAUGUGUGGUGUAGGGAUCGUCCUCUUAAGGAGGCGUUUCCAGAUUUAUAUAAUAUUAGUAGGACAAGGGAUGCUUCGAUCUCGGAGGUUAUGUGCUUUGUAAAUGGGAGAGUUUCUUGGGACAUUCAGUUUCUUCGUUUAGUGAAUGAUCAAGAGUCACAAUCUUUGGAUUCGUUUAUGGUUUUGAUCUAUUCCACAAAGGUGCGAGGUGUUGGUUCUGACAAUCUUUGUUGGAAGCCAGCCAGCAGUCGAGGUUUCAAGGUGAGUGGGUAUUAUCAUUCUAUUUCCUCUUCUACUGGCAUUUCUUUCCCUUGGGAAAAUGGUGUGACAAUCAAAGAUUCCUCCUCGGGUAGCUUUUUUCUCUUGGACUGCGGCUCUAGGCAAGAUUCUAACUAUAGACAAGCUUCGGAAGAGGCAUUUUGUUGUCCUUGAGUGGUGUUUUAUGUGCAAAAGGUGUGGGGAAUCUGUAGAUCAUCUCCUCUUUCACUGUCCUAUAGCUUAUAAGAUGUGGAGUAUGAUCUUUUGCUUGUUUGGUAUUUGUUGGGUGAUGCCUUAAAGGGUAAUGGAUUUGUUGGAUUGCUGGACAUGCAAUUUCAGGCGUCAUCAUAAUAUAGUUAUUUGGAGGCUUGUGCUGCACUGUUUGAUGUAGUGUAUCUGGCAGGAACGGAAUUCUAGAAGUUUUGAGGGUCGUGAAUGGUCCAUGAUUGAGUUUAAGUCUUUCUUCUUUUUUACUCUUCUCGAAUGGUGUCUUGUUUUACCAUCUUUUUCUUGUUUUUCCCUUCCUGAGUUGCUAGAUCUUUGUAAUUUGGUUUCUUGAUGUUUUUGCCUUUUUGUACAUUUCCUAUGUAUUGGGCUGUGUAUCUUAAUGUUACUUCUCUUGAGAUGAGAUUGAGCUGGAUGCCAAAGCUAUUGUGGACAUUUUGAACAAAUUAGACUCUGUGAAUAAUAUUAUUUCUCCUAUUCUGGACGACUGCAGAUUGUUAACUUCCCGUAUUCCUCAGGUUCGUGUUAAGCAUUGCUUUCGUCAAUUGAAUAGAUGUGUGGAUAGCCUUCCUAGAAUGAGUUUUAGUUUAGAUUGUGUUUUUCUUCUUUUCAUUGUCUGCUUGUGGACUUGUUGGAUGUGUUUGAAGAUGAUCUCAAUGGGGUGUAUAUUAACAGGCUGUGUCCUGUUCCUGUUGUUCCCCUUUAGUUGGUUUUAAUGAAUCGUCUUUCACCAAAAAAAAAAUGUAUUGGGCUGUGUGUUUUUUAAUAAAAUUUUUAUGUUACUAAUCAUAAAAAAAAAAAUUGAGGCUUUGGCAAGUAGAUGUGCACAUGCAUUUCAAUCAGGCUAACCAUGUUUUAAUGAAGUUGUAUUUGGUUCAGUUACAAUGAUUUGGAAACUUGUUCAAUUGGCAUACCAAUGCAUCUUAUUUUAAAAUGGAAAUAGAGUUGAAGAUCUACUUAUACAAGGGGUCUAGGUCUAGACAGAUAAUGAGUUAAAUGGUUUUACUAAUAAUAUUUCUUGUUGGAUGAAUUUCAAGUGAGUUGUGCUAUUGGAUUGCAUACAAACCAGGUAACUUUGUCACAUUUCUCUGUUCUAUAUGGAUUUGAGUUAAUGUCUAUGAGACAGUGAUUUGUGAAUUUUGAGGCAGAACUUUAAGGUUAUAAGUUUUUAUCAAUCUAGCCAUAGUAUGAAAUAAACAUUAAUUUUAGUAUUCAGUCUUGAAUAUUUUCCUUGCAGUUCAAAAAUCGCAAGUGUCAAACAAGUUCACUUCCAUUAAACUAUUUGUUAUUUUCUACUAUGCAUCAAGGGUUGUUAUAGGGCGUGUCUGGCAACAUUUAGGAGCCUAGUUUGCAGUCUAGUAUAUAUAUUUUUGGCAUUCGUUGUACACUUGAGAGGGAAAGUCCUUUGGAUCGGAUUCUUGACAGGAUCUAUUGAACAAGUAUUUCUUCUUGCUCUUGGAACAAAUUUAACUAAUAGGCAAAAACAGAUUAAUGGGCAAUCUUUGGAGUUGUUCCUUUCUUUAAAGUUGCUUCCCUAACCUAUCAUUUCCCUCUUAUUGUGCAAGUUAUGUUCAAUUUACUUAAUGGGCACUCAAAAUACAAGUGUGCUCUACAUUCCAGACUUUCUUGUAGAAUACAUAAUUUAGAUCACCUGUGUAACCCCAAUGCAGCAUUCUGUCUAGAGUGCCUAUUCUAUUACUCAUUACUAGCCAACAACAGAAUGCACGUCUUGUAAUAGCUUGAGAGAAUCAGAUGAUUUUCCCUAGCUGAUUUUUAUUUUUAUUUUCUUUCUACUUUCUUUAGUUUAUUUUUAAUGAAAUUUCUUAUUCAUAAAAGAUUUUUUUUUUCUUUUUAAAUGAAGAGAGAGAGUGGAAGGGACUCUCACCAAAGUUACUCCACCUUUAGGUUCUUUACAAUUAGACCAACCACUUCUUGAUUAUGGCUUGCCACUUAUUGGACUGGAUUGUUCAGACCAACCAUUUGUGCUGUCAAAUGGUGGCUUCAGCUUUCUUUACAUUCCAAUCGCUUCUGCAUUUGUGCCAAUGCCCUGCUUUCAUCUGCGUAGAUUAGAAGUCACACCUUUAGAUUUACCAAUCGCUAAUGAAAUAUAUGUAUCCAUAGUAAAGCUGCAAAAUUGCUCAGUUCAAUCCAGUAUUGGGCUAUCGAAACUUUGGUCAUGUUGAAACUAGACUACUUUUGUCCUUGACUGAACCUCAGCUAGUCUGCUUAGUCUAUGUUUUAUGUUGGUUUGAGCUCAUUCUUGUUCACAAGCCUAAGUGAACUUUAUUAACUAGCCUGAAAUCAACAACACAAAAUCUGUUAAUUUACUAAUACAACUUAGCAAUCCGAAAGCAUAAUUCUUUGUCCGAAAGCAUAAUUCUUUGUCACUGAUGUUUGUUUUUUAUAUAUUCGCCAUUGAUGUAUAUCAUCAUCACAUCAUAAUUAUAAUUGUACCAUAGAUGUCUUCUGGUUUGAGAAUCUGAUAUGUCAGACUAAGAGAUAUAAUUCAGGCAUCAUGAUAAGUGAAUUUUUGUGGCUGCUAAGCAGUGUGUGGGAUGGCUGGUGCAUUAAGGGCUUUAUACGGACAAGCCAAUGGGGCAGAGCUAUUCCUUCUGCAUAUGGGAGUUCUUUCACUUUUCUGUUCCUUCUGCUGGAAUGGUUUUGUAAUUCUUUUUUGUUCUUUCUGUCAAGAAAAUGGUAGUCUUCAUUUUUUGGCUACAUGUAUUAAGUCUAUUCACAUUUUGUUGCAUGCCAAUCAUUAUAGUAGGCUUCUAAUUUCUCACUGUAUGCAGCUUGGCAAUUAGUUAAACGUGUUUUCUUACUCCUGAACUUGUUUAUGUAUGGUAUACAAUUGUUUUGAAAACGAAUGCAUCAAACACUUUGUAUCACUCAAGCUUCAAAUGAGUUGGGACUUGGGAGGUGGGAAUCCACAAGCAGCUAAAAUGACUGUCAAGAUCAUAAUGGUUCUUGUAAUUGCAGAGAUGGUUAUCGUAGGCAUGAUUCUCUUCAGUUGCUGCUAUGUUUUGGGCCAUGCCUUCAGCAACGAGAAGGAAGCUGUGGAUCUAUUGCAAAUAUGGUCCCCUUUAUUUGUCUCUCAAUAAUCAUGGAUGGCUUACUAGCAGUGCUUUCAGGGGUUGCUAGAGGACGUGGCCGGUAGCAUAUAGGAGCUUAUGACAAUUUUGGGGCAUGUUAUCUGGUUAGGGUUCCAUUAGUUGUUUUUUUGGCCUUCGUUGUACACUGAAGAGUGAAAGAAGGAAAGGCAUGUGUAGACACUCGACGGUCUCUCACAGCAUGUAGAUUGGACUAUUGACAUGGUCUAUUGUACAAGCAUUUCUGCUUGCUCUUAAAACAAAUUUCACAAAUUGGCAAAAACAAGUUAU